rnacentral:rRNA from 1 species
UCCGUAGGUGAACCUGCGGAAGGAUCAUUAAUGAAUUCACUAUGGAGUUGUUGCUGGCCUCUAGGGGCAUGUGCACGCUUCACUAGUCUUUCAACCACCUGUGAACUUUUGAUAGAUCUGUGAAGUCGUCUUUCAAGUCGUCAGACUUGGUUUGCUGGGAUUUAAACGUCUCGGUGUGACAACGCAGUCUAUUUACUUAACACACCCCAAAUGUAUGUCUACGAAUGUCAUUUAAUGGGCCUUGUGCCUAUAAACCAUAAUACAACUUUCAACAACGGAUCUCUUGGCUCUCGCAUCGAUGAAGAACGCAGCGAAAUGCGAUAAGUAAUGUGAAUUGCAGAAUUCAGUGAAUCAUCGAAUCUUUGAACGCACCUUGCGCCCCUUGGUAUUCCGAGGGGCAUGCCUGUUUGAGUGUCAUUAAAUUCUCAAACUCACUUUGGUUUCUUUCCAAUUGUGAUGUUUGGAUUGUUGGGGGCUGCUGGCCUUGACAGGUCGGCUCCUCUUAAAUGCAUUAGCAGGACUUCUCAUUGCCUCUGCGCAUGAUGUGAUAAUUAUCACUCAUCAAUAGCACGCAUGAAUAGAGUCCAGCUCUCUAAUCGUCCGCAAGGACAAUUUGACAAUUUGACCUCAAAUCAGGUAGGACUACCCGCUGAACUUAAGCAUAUCAAUAAGCGGAGGA